CUAGGCAAAAUGGUACCGUAACUUCGGGAGAAGGUACGCUGUUGUUGGUGAUGGAACUCGCUUCCUGAGCUGACGACAGCCGCAGAAACCAGGCCGCUGCAACUGUUUAUUAAAAACAUAGCACUCUGCAAACACGAAAGUGGACGUAUAGGGUGUGAUGCCUGCCCGGUGCUGGAAGGUUAAUUGAUGGGGUUAGCGUAAGCGAAGCUCUUGAUCGAAGCCCCAGUAAACGGCGGCCGUAACUAUAACGGUCCUAAGGUAGCGAAAUUCCUUGUCGGGUAAGUUCCGACCUGCACGAAUGGCAUAAUGAUGGCGGCGCUGUCUCCAGCAGAGGCUCAGUGAAAUCGAAAUCGCUGUGAAGAUGCAGUGUACCCGCGGCUAGACGGAAAGACCCCGUGAACCUUUACUGCAGCUUGACACUGAACUUUGACCUUACUUGUGUAGGAUAGGUGGGAGGCUUUGAAGCUGGAACGCUAGUUCCAGUGGAGCCGUCCUUGAAAUACCACCCUGGUAAUGUUGAGGUUCUAACUCUGUCCCGUGAUCCGGGACGAGGACCGUGUCUGGUGGGUAGUUUGACUGGGGCGGUCUCCUCCUAAAGAGUAACGGAGGAGUACGAAGGUGCGCUCAGCGUGGUCGGAAAUCACGCGUAGAGUAUAAAGGCAAAAGCGCGCUUAACUGCGAGACCCACAAGUCGAGCAGGUACGAAAGUAGGUCUUAGUGAUCCGGUGGUUCUGUAUGGAAGGGCCAUCGCUCAACGGAUAAAAGGUACUCUGGGGAUAACAGGCUGAUACCGCCCAAGAGUUCAUAUCGACGGCGGUGUUUGGCACCUCGAUGUCGGCUCAUCUCAUCCUGGGGCUGAAGCAGGUCCCAAGGGUAUGGCUGUUCGCCAUUUAAAGAGGUACGCGAGCUGGGUUUAGAACGUCGUGAGACAGUUCGGUCCCUAUCUACCGUGGGCGCUGGAAAUUUGAGAGGAUCUGCUCCUAGUACGAGAGGACCAGAGUGGACGAACCUCUGGUGUACCGGUUGUGACGCCAGUCGCAUCGCCGGGUAGCUAUGUUCGGAAGGGAUAACCGCUGAAAGCAUCUAAGCGGGAAGCCUACCUCAAGAUAAGAUUUCCCUAG
rnacentral:rRNA from 1 species